GAUGAACGCUGGCGGCGUGUCUAAUACAUGCAAGUCGAGCGAACGGACGAGAAGCUUGCUUCUCUGAUGUUAGCGGCGGACGGGUGAGUAACACGUGGAUAACCUACCUAUAAGACUGGGAUAACCUCGGGAAACCGGAGCUAAUACCGGAUGAUAUUUUGAACCGCAUGGUUCAAAAGUGAAAGACGGUCUUGCUGUCACUUAUAGAUGGAUCCGCGCUGCAUUAGCUAGUUGGUAAGGUAACGGCUUACCAAGGCAACGAUGCAUAGCUGACCUGAGAGGGUGAUCGGCCGCACUAGAACUGAGUCACGGUCCAGACUCCUACGGGAGGCAGCAGUAGGCAAUCUUCCGCAAUGGGCGAAAGCCUGACGGAGCAACGCCGCGUGAGUGAUGAAGGUCUUCGGGGCAUAAAACUCUGUUAUUAGAGAAGAACAUAUGUGUAAGUAACUGUGCACAUCUUGACGGUACCUAAUCAGAAAGCCACGGCUAGCUACGUG
rnacentral:rRNA from 1 species